CUACGGGGCGCAGCAGUGGGGAAUAUUGGACAAUGGGGGAAACCCUGAUCCAGCAAUGCCGCGUGUGUGAAGAAGGCCUGCGGGUUGUAAAGCACUUUCGGUUGGGAGGACUGCUUCUAGCACUAAUAUUGUUGGAAGUUGACGUUACCUUCAGAAGAAGCACCGGCUAACUCCGUGCCAGCAGCCGCGGUAAUACGGAGGGUGCAAGCGUUAAUCGGAAUUACUGGGCGUAAAGCGCGCGUAGGCGGCUAGAUCAGUCGGGUGUGAAAGCCCCGGGCUUAACCUGGGAACUGCAUCCGAUACUGUCUAGCUUGAGUACAGGAGAGGGGAGUGGAAUUCCACAUGUAGCGGUGAAAUGCGUAGAUAUGUGGAGGAACACCAAUGGCGAAGGCAGCUCUCUGGCCUGAUACUGACGCUGAGGUGCGAAAGCGUGGGGAGCAUACAGGAUUAGAUACCCCAGUAGUC
rnacentral:rRNA from 1 species